UGGGGAAUAUUGCACAAUGGGCGCAAGCCUGAUGCAGCCAUGCCGCGUGUGUGAAGAAGGCCUUCGGGUUGUAAAGCACUUUCAGCGGGGAGGAAGGCGUUAAGGUUAAUAACCUUGGCGAUUGACGUUACCCGCAGAAGAAGCACCGGCUAACUCCGUGCCAGCAGCCGCGGUAAUACGGAGGGUGCAAGCGUUAAUCGGAAUUACUGGGCGUAAAGCGCACGCAGGCGGUCUGUCAAGUCGGAUGUGAAAUCCCCGGGCUCAACCUGGGAACUGCAUUCGAAACUGGCAGGCUAGAGUCUUGUAGAGGGGGGUAGAAUUCCAGGUGUAGCGGUGAAAUGCGUAGAGAUCUGGAGGAAUACCGGUGGCGAAGGCGGCCCCCUGGGCGAAGACUGACGCUCAGGUGCGAAAGCGUGGGGAGCAAACAGG
rnacentral:rRNA from 1 species